rnacentral:piRNA from 1 species
UNGGAGCGUAGGAGGGACAGGCUGGACAAA